GUUUCCAGGUUCGUGAACACAUGGCCAUGCUGGGAGAAUGGUGCCUCCUGAAAGAUCGUGGAAUCUCCUCACCCCUUCCCACAUGCCUUGCGCUACCUGUCUCUUCUAUCGGUGUCCUUUAAGGGAUCUUUAUACAAUAACCUGCUAAAUAGUUAAAGGAGUCCCUUUGACAUUUCUUGUAAGGCUGGUUUGGUGGUGAUGAAGCCCUUUAGGUUUUGCUUGUCUGGAAAACUUAUCUCUCUUUCAAUUCUGAAUGUAACCUUGCCAGAUUCCAGGAAAACAAGCAGUGUUUCGGUCAAUCCUUUCUUCUAUGGUGGAUACCCAGAUGGCUCAGGAACAUCUGGCAUUUGGGAGUAUCAGGGCUGUUCACCAGAAAGAGAAGUGGCACUGGCAGAGACCUUGACACAGACACCCAGAGCAAGUCGCCGCAAGUCUCGCUCACACGAGUUCCAAACCACGGAAUGUCACGCCGGAUCGGAACUGAGCAAAACAGACGUCUCUCCUGUCUGCUCCCAAGCCUGAAGAGACCUGCCCUACUCUUUCCUUGCAGUGCAUUCUUUAUUGCAAUCAUGUUUUCUGAAUUAAUUGCCCCAUUUCUUUUGGCUCAGUAUUCUGUCCCAGCCCUGUCUGCUGAGAGACGUAGCGGUCGGCUAAGGGGACAGCCAGGACCUCCCGCACUUGCGCCACCAAGCCCGACAGCCAGUGAGUGGUUUGGAUGACGAUUUCUUCCACUUUGGCACAUGUAGUCACCACCAACUAGUAUAACAGACACAUAACACAAAACAAUAAAAAAUAUCUGCAGCUAAGCAGCUAUUGUCCCAUGCUGUCAUUAAUAUAACAAAAAUUAAAACAAGUAUCACAUUAAAAAAAAACUCCACGGGGCGCCUGGGUGGCUCAGUUGGUUAAGCGACUGCUUUCGGCUCAGGUCAUGAUCCUGGAGUCCCGGGAUCGAGUCCCACAUCGGGCUUCCUGCUCAGCAAGGAGUCUGCUUCUCCCUCUGACCCUCCUCUCUCUCACGCUCUCUGUCUCUCAUUCUCUCUCUCUCAAAUAAAUAAAAUCUUUAAAAAAAAAAACCAAUACAA